AGUGAACGCUGGCGGCGUGCUUAACACAUGCAAGUCGAACGAGAACGGAAUAUAGCUUGCUAUAUUUGUCAGCUAAGUGGCGCACGGGUGAGUAAUAUAUAGAUAACCUGCCCUUAAGAAAGGAAUAACAGUUGGAAACGACUGCUAAUGCCCUAUAUGCCUUUAAUACAUAAGUAUGCAAGGGAAACGCUUUAGUGCUUAAGGAUGGGUCUGUAUGGUAUCAGCUUGUUGGUGGGGUAAUGGCUCACCAGGGCUAUGACGCCUAACUGGUUUGAGAGGAUGAUCAGUCACACUGGAACUGAGACACGGUCCAGACUCCUACGGGAGGCAGCAGUGGGGAAUAUUGCACAAUGGACGAAAGUCUGAUGCAGCAACGCCGCGUGGAGGAUGACACAUUUCGGUGCGUAAACUCCUUUUAUAUAGGGAGAUAAUGACGGUACUAUAUGAAUAAGCACCGGCUAACUCCGUGCCAGCCGCCGCCGUAA
rnacentral:rRNA from 1 species